AUUGAACGCUGGCGGAAUGCUUUACACAUGCAAGUCGAGCGGUAAGGCCCUUUCGGGGGUACGACGAGCGGCGAACGGGUGAGUAACACGUGGGUGACCUGCCCUCAGCUCUGGGAUAAGCCUGGGAAACCGGGUCUAAUACCGGAUAUGACUCCAUGACGCAUGUUGUGGGGUGGAAAGCCUUGUGCGGCUGAGGAUGGGCCCGCGGCCUAUCAGCUUGUUGGU
rnacentral:rRNA from 1 species